rnacentral:rRNA from 1 species
CAGUCGCCACGGUAAUACGAAGGGGGCUAGCGUUGUUCGGAUUUACUGGGCGUAAGGGCGCGUAGGCGGACUGAUAAGUCAGGGGUGAAAUCCCAAGGCUCAACCUUGGAACUGCCUUUGAUACUGUUUGUCUUGAGUUCGAGAGAGGUAAGUGGAACUGCGAGUGUAGAGGUGAAAUUCGUAGAUAUUCGCAAGAACACCAGUGGCGAAGGCGGCUUACUGGCUCGAAACUGACGCUGAGGCGCGAAAGCGUGGGGAGCAAACAGGAUUAGAUACCCCCGUAGUCCCUGUCUCUUAUACA